rnacentral:rRNA from 1 species
GACGAACGCUGGCGGCGUGCUUAACACAUGCAAGUCGAACGGAAAGGCCCUGCUUGCAGGGUACUCGAGUGGCGAACGGGUGAGUAACACGUGGGUGAUCUGCCCUUCACUUCGGGAUAAGCCUGGGAAACUGGGUUUAAUACCGGAUAGGCGCCAUUGUGAGAGUGAUGGUUGGAAAGUUUUUUCGGUGUAGGAUGAGCUGGCGGCCUAUUAGCUUGUUGGUGGGGUAAUGGCCUACCAAGGCGGCGAGGGGUAGCGGGCCUGAGAGGGUGGACGGCCAUACUGGCACUGAGGCGAGGCAGAGGCUCGUACGAGAGGCAGCAGUGGGGAAUAUUGCACAAUGCGUGCAAGCUUGAUGCAGCGGGUCUGCGGGUGGUAUGGCGGCCUACGGGUUGUAGAAUGGUAGCGCGAUGGACGAUUGUUGUUGUGACGGUACCUAGAGAAGAAGCACCGGCUAACUACGUG